CCUACGGGUGGCAGCAGUGAGGAAUAUUGCACAAUGGGGGAAACCCUGAUGCAGCGACGCCGCGUGAGUGAAGAAGUAUCUCGGUACGUAAAGCUCUAUCAGCAGGGAAGAAAAUGACGGUACCUGACUCAGAAGCUCCGGCUAACUACGGUCCAGCAGCCGCGGUAAUACGUAGGGGGCAAGCGUUAUCCGGAUUUACUGGGUGUAAAGGGAGCGUAGAGGGCAGGGCAAGUCUGCAGUGAAAUCCCAUGGCUUAACCAUGGAACUGCUUUGGAAACUGUGCAGCUGGAGUGCAGGAGAGGUAAGCGGAAUUCGUAGUGUAGCGGUGAAAUGCGUAGAUAUUAGGAGGAACACCAGUUGCGAAGGCGGCUUACUAAACUGUCACUGACGUUGAGGCUCGAAAGCGUGGGGAGCAAACAGGAUUAGAUACCCUUGUAGUC
rnacentral:rRNA from 1 species